CCCGCACCUAGUCCGACGGGACGAAAAGUCGGUGACCCUGCCGGCCUGGUGCGGGACUCUUUCAGGGG
rnacentral:sRNA from 1 species